rnacentral:rRNA from 1 species
AUUGAACGCUGGCGGCAGGCCUAACACAUGCCAGUCGAACGGUAACAGGAAGCAGCUUGCUGCUUUGCUGACGAGUGGCGGACGGGUGAGUAAUGUCUGGGAAACUGCCUGAUGGAGGGGGAUAACUACUGGAAACGGUAGCUAAUACCGCAUAAUGUCGCAAGACCAAAGAGGGGGACCUUCGGGCCUCUUGCCAUCGGAUGUGCCCAGAUGGGAUUAGCUAGUAGGUGGGGUAAAGGCUCACCUAGGCGACGAUCCCUAGCUCGUCUGAGAGGAUGACCAGCCACACUGGAACUGAGACACGGUCCAGACUCCUACGGGAAGCAGCAGUGGGGAAUUUUGCGCAAUGGGCGCAAGCCUGAUGCAGCCCUGCCGCGUGUAUGGGGAAGGCCUUCGGGUUGUAAAGUACUUUCAGCGGGGAGGAAGGGAGUAAAGUUAAUACCUUUGCUCAUUGACGUUACCCGCAGAAGAAGCACCGGCUAACUCCGUG